GUUUAAAUAGUUUAAUAAAAAUAUUGAUUUGUGGUGUCAAAGAUAUGAAGAAUUCAUUUUAGACC
rnacentral:tRNA from 1 species